GAACCAGGAGGAACCUAUGAGUGGAUAUGAGUGGGAUGGGAUCCAUGACCUCAUCAGUAUAAGGAACUACUGGAACAAGGACCCACAGUUUAGGAAGAACGUUGACGAGAUUAAAGAGGUGAAGGUCUGGAAACCACCGGAUAGAUUGAAGCAACCGGCUUGACAUGCAACGAUGGAUGAAGAAACUGAGACCCAGUAUCACAGAACUCAAAGGCAAGAAUUGGAGUCAGAAUUACAACAAAAGUCUCCUAGAUUACAAAUCCAAAUCUUUCCCCUAUAUCCCCUCCUCCCAAGUCUCAGAAAGGUGAUCUUUCUGCCAGAUAGGAUCUUAGAAGAAUGAGCCUAAAAUUCUCUUUGAUUCACUUUGCCCAAGGCUCACCUCAGGCCUUGGAAUAAAAGCCUCCACUUUCAGCUCUGGAGCUGCUGGUAUAGAUAUUUAUAGAGAUGAAGAGAUGUCUUCUCCAGGAAAAUGUGAAGGACACACGUGGAAUCUGGAGUCAUCUUAAUUUGAACUCAGUCUCUUCUUGCUAGGAAAGUGAACUCCUUAGCCCUGACUUCAUUCAGGCUAUUUUCAAGAAGCAUUAUAAAUAAGUGCCCUAGCAAAGAAUUGGAAAAGGAGUGGAUGCCCAUCAAUUGGGGAAUGGCAAACAAGUUAUGGUAU